AAUCGAACUCGGAGAUAGCUGGUUCUCCCCGAAAUAGCUUUAGGGCUAGCGUUAUUUUAGAUUACCGGAGGUAAAGCACUGAAUGGUCUAGGGGCCGCGAGGUUACCAAAGCCUAUCAAACUCUGAAUGCCGGAUAAUUGAUGAAUAGCAGUCAGACUGUGUGAGAUAAGUCUCAUAGUCAAAAGGGAAACAGCCCAGAUCUACAGCUAAGGUCCCAAAUGAACACUAAGUGGAAAAUGAUGUGAAACUGCGAAGACAACCAGGAUGUUGGCUUAGAAGCAGCCACUCAUUCAAAGAGUGCGUAAUAGCUCACUGGUCGAGUGGUUUUGCGCAGAAAAUGUAACGGGGCUAAGUGUUCAACCGAAGCUUAGGCAUUGCAGUAAUGCAUUGGGUAGGGGAGCGUCGUAUGCGGGGCGAAGUCAGAGCGGAAGCACUGGUGGACUGCAUACGAGUGAGAAUGCCGGAAUAAGUAGCGAGAAUUAUGUGAGAAUCAUAAUGGCCGAAAAUCUAAGGUUUCUUGGGGAAGGUUCGUCCGCCCAAGGUUAGUCGGGAGCUAAGCUCAGGCCGAAAGGCGUAGGCGAUGCACAUACGGUAGAAAUUCCGUAACCACCGAACAUUUAAGCUAGAGGGACGCUUUCAUUAAGUCUAUCCCGGGCGAUGGUUGCCCCGGGCGUAAGGGACCGAAAUUUAGUAGGGAAGUAGACGGCGUGAGAGACGAGAAAAGCUCUAGUGUAUACUAAGGUGCCCGUACCGCAAACCGACACAGGUAGAUGGGAUGAGUAUUCUAAGGCCAACGGGAGAAGGGUUGUUAAGGAACUCGGCAAAUUGGCCCCGUAACUUCGGGAUAAGGGGCGCCUGCGAGAGCAGGCCGCAGUGAAAAGGCCCAAGCGACUGUUUAGCAAAAACACAGCUCUCUGCUAAAUCGAAAGAUGACGUAUAGGGGGUGACGCCUGCCCGGUGCUGGAAGGUUAAGGGGAGUGCUUAGCGCAAGCGAAGGUGCGAACUUAAGCCCCAGUAAACGGCGGCCGUAACUAUAACGGUCCUAAGGUAGCGAAAUUCCUUGUCAGGUAAGUUCUGACCCGCACGAAUGGCGUAACGAUUUGGGCACUGUCUCAACAGCCCGCCCGGCGAAAUUGUAGUACCGGUGAAGAUGCCGGUUUCCCGCAACUAGACGGAAAGACCCCAUGGAGCUUCACUGUAGCUUGAUAUUGGAUCUCGGUAUUCCAUGUACAGGAUAGGUGGGAGGCUAGGAAGUAAGCGCGCCAGCGUUUAUGGAGCCAACCUUGGGAUACCACUCUUGGGAUAUUGGGAUUCUAACCUGCGACCAUGAAUCUGGUCGGGGGACACUGUCAGGUGGGCAGUUUGACUGGGGCGGUCGCCUCCAAAAGAGUAACGGAGGCGCUCAAAGGUUCGUUCAGCACGGAUGGAAAUCGUGCACUGAGUGUAAACGCAUAAACGAGCCUAACUGCGAGAAUGACGGUUCGAGCAGUAACGAAAGUUGGAGUUAGUGAUCCGGCGGUAUGUGAAUGGAAAUGCCGUCGCUCAACGGAUAAAAGCUACCCUGGGGAUAACAGGCUGAUCUCCCCCAAGAGUCCACAUCGACGGGGAGGUUUGGCACCUCGAUGUCGGCUCAUCACAUCCUGGGGCUGUAGUAGGUCCCAAGGGUUGGGCUGUUCGCCCAUUAAAGCGGUACGCGAGCUGGGUUCAGAACGUCGUGAGACAGUUCGGUCCCUAUCUGUUGCGGGCGCAGGAAUAUUGAGAGGAGCUGUCCUUAGUACGAGAGGACCGGGAUGGACGUACCGCUGGUGCACCAGUUGUUCUGCCAAGGGCAUAGCUGGGUAGCUAAGUACGGACGAGAUAAACGCUGAAGGCAUCUAAGCGUGAAACUCCCCUCGAGAUAAGUGUUCCCAUCCUUCGGGAGUAAGGCCCCUUGU
rnacentral:rRNA from 1 species